AACGUAGGACGCAAGCGUUAUCCGGAGUUACUGGGCGUAAAGCGCGGGCAGGCGGCUCGAAACGUCUGAUGUGAAAACUCGAGGCUCAACCUCGAGACGUCGGCGGAAACCAUCUGGCUAGAGUCCGGAAGAGGAGAGUGGAAUUCCUGGUGUAGCGGUGAAAUGCGCAGAUAUCAGGAAGAACACCCGUGGCGAAGGCGGCUCUCUGGGACGGUACUGACGCUGAGACGCGAAAGCGUGGGGAGCGAACAGG
rnacentral:rRNA from 1 species